CAAAACCUAAACCCAAGACAGAUGCUUUCUCUUCGACUCUCUUUGCACUCAAAAACAACGCUGUCUCUCUGAACUUCAAAAACGAUCUCCGACGACUUCCUUUUCUCUAGCGACUUCCUUCUCUCCGGCGAACGCUUUGUUGGGGAUUUCUCUGGAUCUCGAAGUUUGGCCAUCAGAUAAGGAUCUCAUUUUGUAAGAAGAUGUCGAUGGAGCAUGAUGAUGUAGAGUCCAAUGAAAUAAGUGUUUCAAGUUCAAAAAGAUAACGAUCUCAUUUUGUAAGAAGAUGUCGAUGGAGCAUGAUGAUGUAGAGUCCAAUGAAAUAAGUGUUUCAAGUUCAAAAAGAUAACGUAAUACUACUUCUGUUGUUUGGGAUUUCUACGAGAAGUUGCCAUUGGAUACAAAUCCAGAUAAUAGACUUAGAGCUAAAUGUAAGAAAUGCUGGAUAAUAUUUUUGGUUGACUCAAAAGCUAGAACAACAAAUUUAAAGCGGCAUCUAGCUAAGCACAAGAUUGAAGCAUCAAAGCAAGGUACGCCAAUUGAGCAUAAGGAAUAUCGUGAAGUUAUAGUCAAGGCUAUAGUUAGACAUAACUUGCCAUUUAGUUAUAAUAUGAAGGGAUUAGAGAAGUGCAUGCGUUCUUGAAUCAUGCGGUUAAAACCAUUUCAAGAAAUACCGCAAAAGUUGAUGUGCUUAACUUAUAUCAUGGUACAAAAGAGAUGGUAAAAAAUGAGCUUGAAGCUAUUCAAAAUAGAAUUAGUUUGACAUCUGAUUUAUGGUCAUCAAUUACAUCAAAUGAAUAUAUUUUUGUUAUUGCACACUAUGUUGAUUUGGAUUGGGUUUUACAAAAGAGAGUUUUAAUCUUUCGUCAUAUGUCUCCUCCUCAUAGUGGUGCUAAUUUUGGUCCAAAGUUGAUUAAUCUGUUGAAAUAGUGGGGAAUUGAAAAGAAAAUAUUUUCUAUAACUUUAGAUAAUGCAAUUUAUAAUGAUGGUGUUGUGGGUUGCUUGAUUUGCAUUUUAAGCUAAUGGAUUCUUUGCUUUGUAAUGGAGACUUUGUCCAUAUUAGGUGUGCAAAUCAUAUUUUGAAUUUGAUUGUUAAAGCAGGUUUGAAAAUAAUAGAGGGUGCUAUUUUUAACAUUAGAGAAAUAUAAAAUAUAUUAAUGGUUCUGAGUCAUGGAUUGUAAAAUUUGUUGAGUGUAUCAAGAAUCUUGGUUUAAAGAUGACGGGAAAAGUGCGCCAAGAUGUGUCUACAAGGUGGAACUAUACAUAUUUGAUGCUUGUAAGCGCUUUUCCUUAUCGUCGAGUAUUUUCUGACUUCAAGAUACUUGACAAAAAUUUUACAUGUUGCCCUUCAGAUGAGGAUUGGGUUAAAGUUGAAACAAUUGCUAAGUUUUUAAGGUCUUUUUAUGAAAUUACUACACUAUUUUCUGGGAGCCAUUAUCCUACCGCCAAUUUAUAUUUUCAUUAAGUUUGGAAGAUUCAUAUGUUAAUAAAGGAAGAGAUAGGUAGCGAGGAUCCUAAUAUUAAGGCGAUGGCUAUGGAAAUAGAGAAGAAAUUUACAAAAUUUUGGCAAGACGACUACAGUCCAAUUACUUAUAUGGUGAUCGCCCUUGAUCCUCGAUAUAAGUUAAAUUUGAUAAAGUUUUGAGAAGCAAAACUUGAUCCUUGACUUGCAAUGAAAAAGUUAGAUUGUUGAGGAUAAUUUGCAUAGGUUGUUUAAAGAAUACAUGACAAUAUCUGAUGUUUGAAUUGUUGGAUGUAAUAGUCAUGGAUGUUAUGAUGAAAUAAUGGACGAAAUGGAUGAAUUUGACAUGUUUGAAAGUCUGUCCGAGUAUAGUUUAGAAAAGACACAGUUGAAUUUAUACUUGGAAGAGCAUGUAUUAGUUUGCAAAGGAAAUGAAAAUUUAGACGUGCUUACAUUUUGGAAAGAUAAUAGGAGUAAGUGUCCUGAACUCUCUCGUGACCUGUUAAGUAUACAUAUCAGCACAGUUGCAUCUGAGUUGGCCUUUAGUGUUGGUGGUCGAGUUAUUGGCAAAUUCCAAAGUUCUAUUCUACCGGUGAAUGCAUAAGCUAAGUUGUGCUCUAGAGAUUGGAUUUAUGGGCAUCAAGCUUGUGAUGAUUCUGAAGAGGAGGACAUUGCAAUAGAUAAGAAGAAAAUUACCUCUACAAUCUUUACUUAGAAUUGUGGAUGUAGAGCAAGGAUGCAGAGACCCGAGCUAAUAUGAAUUUAUAAAUAUGGAUUGUUGAUCUAUAAUAAGAUAUAAGUUUCGAUACUUUCUGAUAUUUUGCUAUAGAAUUUGGAGAUGAAUGGUAUCUCCAGAACUCUCAUUCAUUUGUAAAAAGUUUUUGAUUCUUGGUGAGCCACUGUUCCUUUUUCUCUCGGUA